GUCUAUGGCCAUGCCACCUUGAACACACCCCAUCUCAUCUGAUCUCAGAAGCUAAGCAGGGUCAAGCCUGUUUAGUACUUAGAUAGGAGGAGGGAUUAAAGAGGGAUAGGAGCAGCCUGAGGCA
rnacentral:rRNA from 1 species